rnacentral:rRNA from 1 species
GCAUAUCAAUAAGCGGAGGAAAAGAAAACCAACAGGGAUUGCCCUAGUAACGGCGAAGUGAAGCGGCAACAGCUCAAAUUUGAAAUCUGGCGUCUUCGGCGUCCGAAGUUGUAAUUUGCAGAGGGCGCUUUGGCAUUGGCAGCGGUCCAAGUUCCUUGGAACAGGACGUCACAGAGGGUGAGAAUCCCGUACGUGGUCGCUAGCCUUUACCGUGUAAAGCCCCUUCGACGAGUCGAGUUGUUUGGGAAUGCAGCUCUAAAUGGGAGGUAAAUUUCUUCUAAAGCUAAAUACUGGCCAGAGACCGAUAGCGCACAAGUAGAGUGAUCGAAAGAUGAAAAGCACUUUGGAAAGAGAGUUAAAAAGCACGUGAAAUUGUUGAAAGGGAAGCGCUUGCAGCCAGACUUGCCUGUAGUUGCUCAUCCGGGUUUCUACCCGGUGCACUCUUCUACGGGCAGGCCAGCAUCAGUUUGGGCGGUUGGAUAAAGGUCUCUGUCAUGUACCUCUCUUCGGGGAGAACUUAUAGGGGAGACGACAUGCAACCAGCCUGGACUGAGGUCCGCGCAUCUGCUAGGAUGCUGGCGUAAUGGCUGUAAGCGGCCCGUCUUGAAACACGGACCAAGGAGUCUAACAUCUAUGCGAGUGUUUGGGUGUCAAGCCCGAGCGCGUAAUGAAAGUGAACGGAGGUGGGAACCUUUCGGGGUGCACCAUCGACCGAUCCUGAUGUCUUCGGAUGGAUUUGAGUAAGAGCAUAGCUGUUGGGACCCGAAAGAUGGUGAACUAUGCUUGAAUAGGGUGAAGCCAGAGGAAACUCUGGUGGAGGCUCGCAGCGGUUCUGACGUGCAAAUCGAUCGUCAAAUUUGGGCAUAGGGGCGAAAGACUAAUCGAACUAUCUAGUAGCUGGGUUCCUGCCGA